CUAUUUGACGUAGAAAAGAAAACAUAGUUAUGGAAGAAAUAUUUGUUAUUGAUCGAAAAUAUUAUCGGAGCUACUGUAGUAUCGUUACGUCGGAGUUCGUCGAACCAUAACUCGAAAAGUUACAAUCAACAUGCAAACGAGCGGAUAGGAAACGGCAAUCGCUCAUUCUACGAGAGAGAAGUCUGGCGUGCAGGCAAACCGCGACCGGUACUACUGGCAAUCUCCGCAAUCAUGGCUGGCAAAAUGCAUUUUCCGCCGAGUGAAACGUCGUUAGAAAUCAGAUUCCUUUUCAGGAAUUCGCAGAAGCCGAUUCAUAUACGAGAACGACCUGACGAGACGACAUCAGCGAACCGCGUCUGAUCCUUAAUGUCGCGUGGGCAGAUACGACGGAUUACAAUAUCACCAAGCACCAGCAAGAAGAAAUGACGUUAGCAAGAGCAACAGAGUGACAUACAGCGUGGGGUAAUGGCUCUGCAUUUCCUCGACGCCUUCGUGCGUGCAAAACGAUCUUGACUUCCGCGUUCUGCCGACCGUAGCCGCCAUCGGGAAUCGCGUCCCCGGAAGAUGUAAUUAUCUAUCAGUCGGAGGAAAAAGAUUACGGCGGCUGCCGUACAUACGCGAUGCAGCUCUCUUCUUUUCAUGCACGUCCUAAGAACAGUUUCUCGAACGCGAAUCUCUAUUCCUAUGCAUUUCGACUGGAAGGAAGCACGUGUUACGCGCAAGAUGUUAUCUUCAGCAGCGAAGAUAUAACGCACAAACGCACGCACGAGCAAGUUUAUUAUAGGAUGAGAAGCAGUGCUCCGUAAAGAUGCGAAUGCUGGAUAUGUUCUUUUUGCAUCUGCUGAUAUUAGUAAGAAUUUUAAGUUUUACAUAAUAAUUAUUUUAGAUGAUCGAAUAUUUCUGAAUGCUAAAGGUUCUUACAAAAUUUUAAGAAAUAUGUUUUCCCUCAUAUAUGAUCAUUAUGAUCAUUAGUUAUAUUUAAGCUGCAUUAUAAUGGCAAAGGUAUUGCGUGUAUUAAAUCUAAGUUCUCAUCGUUGUUACUUCAUCAAUGUGCAUAGAUAGAAUGCAAUCUUCUUUGGUUUUGUGCUAAACGAAUAAAAUUGAGAAUCAGGUAAUGACGCUCGGCUAUGAAUGCGCAAUGAAAGUACAGACCUGCAAUUACCAUACUCUGAAAGCGAGAUUUCUCUACGGAGAACAAUUAGUCUUGAUUGUUGAACGUGAGUCAAUGUAGUUUCGUGAACAAUGAAAAUUUAUUCUGAUAAAAAAUCUUUAAACUUAGAAAAUU